GCUAAUACAUGCCAACGAGCGCUGACCUCCGGGGAUGCGUGCAUUUAUCAGACCCAAAACCCAUGCGGGGUGCCCCCCGGGGCGCCCCGGCCGCUUUGGUGACUCUAGAUAACCUCGAGCCGAUCGCUGGCCCUCGUGGCGGCGACGUCUCAUUUGAAUGUCUGCCCUAUCAACUUUCGAUGGUACUUUCUGUGCCUACCAUGGUGACCACGGGUAACGGGGAAUCAGGGUUCGAUUCCGGAGAGGGAGCCUGAGAAACGGCUACCACAUCCAAGGAAGGCAGCAGGCGCGCAAAUUACCCACUCCCGACUCGGGGAGGUAGUGACGAAAAAUAACAAUACAGGACUCUUUCGAGGCCCUGUAAUUGGAAUGAGUACACUUUAAAUCCUUUAACGAGGAUCAAUUGGAGGGCAAGUCUGGUGCCAGCAGCCGCGGUAAUUCCAGCUCCAAUAGCGUAUCUUAAAGUUGCUGCAGUUAAAAAGCUCGUAGUUGGAUCUCGGGAUCGAGCUGACGGUCCGCCGCGAGGCGAGCUACCGUCUGUCCCAGCCCCUGCCUCUCGGCGCCCCCUCGAUGCUCUUAGCUGAGUGUCCCGCGGGGUCCGAAGCGUUUACUUUG
rnacentral:rRNA from 1 species